CUUUCUUUCUCUUAUGUCUUCACCUUUUGUGUACCUGACUAUCAGUUAUGACAGGUGUACCACUUUCUUUUGGAAUGGAUGAGGUCUAUUCUGGGACAGGCAGUUGUCCCUACUGUACAUCUGGGGUGUUGUCAAAUCCUGAACACUUUCAGGCAAAACAUUUAAAGUAUGCCAUAUAUUUUGAGGAUAAUGGCAUCCAAAAAUAUUGCAUUCCUUGCUUUUGUUUGAGUUCCCGACAAAGUAAGAGGUGCCAUUGGCAUUGCCCUAAGUGUCAGCACAUCUUGUGUCGUGCCCCUGACUUUAAAAAGCACCUUCAUAAUCAUGAUUUUGCAGUUACAGACAAAGUUACCAACAGGCCAGAUAAAGGGCCAUCUGAAAACCCUAAGGCAAGGCAGCAUGUCAGGCAGGAGCAACCACCAGUCAUUUGUAUUGAUGAGAGAAAUGGGAUUUUUGUCACCCCAAAAGAUGCCCAUGGACCUAGAGUCCCUAUUCACGUAAAAAAGCAAAUGGUCUCAGGGUCUAUUGCCUGUGAAUCUCCUCUGUGUCGUGAUUUUAUGAGGAUUGGAGUAGAAAGUGGCAAUCCAGGCAUGGAGUGUGAACACCUUCAGAGGACAAAUAGAGCUGUGUGCUAUUCUGCACCACCAGCACUUAGGGAGGACUCUUUGCAGUCAAUGGUAGACAGUGGCCUGAUGUCCAGAACCCGUCAAGAUGAAUGUUUGCAGCUCAGAAUCAAAAGUAUUACUAGUGGUGUUGAUUGUGUGUUUCCUAUUUUUUGGCAUGAGCAAACCUCUGUCAGGUUUAUUUAUUUUUCUGUCUUUACUGGGGUAAGAGACAACUGGUGUCAGUUUGAAAGGACAAGGGUUUCUUUUGAUAGCCAUGUGGGCCAGUGGCGCUGCCAGUGCCGCAAUAAAAUGAGAAGCUGUGUGCACCGGUACUUGAGCAUGUGGUGGCUGUUUCAAGAGAAACCCCACCUCCUUUCUUGUCAGACUGACCCAAAUGCUGGAGACAGUGAUGUGGAUGAAAGGGUCAGAGAUGUUGCAGAGACAGAAGUGGCAGCACUGGCUUCUGCUGAAAUACAGGAUUGGACAGAUUAUUUGUGGAGGAAAAAGAGGGUGCCAGAAGACCUUCCAGAGGAUUUGUCAACAAAAGAGCGCCAAAUCCCAGACUUGUUUGAACCCCUGGAGUCCAACUGUCCUUAUUGCCCUGGCCCAACUCCACCAGCUCUGGGAGAGAGGGUGCUAAUUACACGGCAUGGGACGGUGUAUGGCGUAUCCUCAGUGACUCGAGGUGUGCCAGUGUAUGUGAAGAACUGCCUUGUUUGUAGACGUCCAGUGAGGUUUCAGGAGUAUCAGUCUGGAUUUCACAAUUAUGAAAACAGGACUUUUUUGACCAUUCCUCUCUGUUCUCUUCUGACAUCUGGACUCGCAAAUCAUAUUGCCCUUGGACGUUUUUUGAAAACAAUGGAAGAUCAUGCCAACAUCACUGUUCCCCACAAUCUGAUUCGAAAGGCGUUUUAUCAUUUCUCUGCUCUGAGGGAGUACUCUUAUAGCUAUUCAUGUGUCCGAUGUGGUCACAGCCCUCCCAUUUUGAUUGCAGAUGGAAACUGGAAAAUUGCUUUCGAUUUACCAGCACAUCUGUUUAGGCGGCCCAACUUGGACAAUAUCAGCCAAGAAGACACUGAAGUUAAUGUGAGGACAAGAUGGGAGACAAUUGAGCAGAAAAUGAUUGCUUCUGGGUUCUGUGAUGGAAACUCACUUGCCAAUCCUUAUGCAUGUCCCUUGACAUACACUGCCUUACUCCAUGGCUGGGUAAUUGCUCUAGGAUAAGUGAUAUUGUUCCAAAGACUGAAGUGUUCAAGGGUCUGUCUCAGAAAGAUCGUGCAUUCACCUCAAGCUGUGGCUUGGAGAUGGAUGAAGAUACAAUUUUACAAGUGCUGGAGUCCAAAACCCCAAAGAGAGAAGAUUUGGUGAAAGCCUGCAAUGCCCUUGGAGUAUCACAUGUAGGUAGUACCACUGACUUAAUAAACAGACUUGAGGAGCUACUGCUUUACAAGGAUUUGUACCCCAAGAUGUUCAUCAAGCUUCAGAAAGCUGGUGGUGGUGUUUUGCACAUGACUUGCACACACUCUGUUGUGUACUACCAAUCAGCACUGUGGUGGCAAGAGUCAGCCCGUGACCAUGGAGAUGCUCUGUUGAGCUUUAAACACCCUCCCACAGUGUUUGUGUCAGAUAUUG